CAAGAGCCGAGAGGAAUCAAGAUCUUCAGCUAACAACCAAAAUUGCCCCCCUGGGGUCCUCUUGGCUUCUCUCUCCUGUCGUGGAACCAUGCCUCACAAAGCAAGGGCUGUUGGCCCAGAGUACUCUCUGCUUACUGCAUGAAAGAAGAACCUCUGAUUCAUGCAUGAGGCUGGAUGAAUGAAAGGAGCCCAUAGCUCUCCAUCAUACUCCCCUGAAACAUAGCCUCAGCAACAAGCUUCUAAGGGCAGAACGAGAAAUGAUGAAGCCCCGCUCCUCCUGGGAAGCAGAAAACUACAGCUGAAAGAUGGGGAGGAGUUUUGGAAUUUUCACCACUUACCAGUUAUUUUGGAGAGCUGAUCAGUAGAACGCCUCAUGCUGUCAUCAUAGAAGUUGAUCAAAGUAUUGUUUUCUUUCAGUCCACUAAUUAUAUUUUGUCCUCAAAUUAUAUUCUACCAAAAUUCUGUUUCACCAUAGUCCAAGUAUUUUAAAAAGUUUUCUUGCCCUGUUCUUAUUAUGCAAAACGUAAGAACUAUCCUUUUCCACCAUCUCUUUGAAAAAUCAAAUAUAAAACUGAAACACAAUUCUGUUCCUUUCAUGGUAAUCUUUUCUAUAGUACUCUAUUUUCUGCUCAUUGCUGACAGUAAUGACCACAUAUUACAUUUCAAAUAUGUAUCUAGUUUUCCUAAUCCCUUAUCAAAUAUAUAUUUAUGAAUUGCAGUGGCAGUAUAAACACUUCCAUCUAUAUCUUCAUAUGUAGAAAGCACAGUUUCUUGCACAGGAGAGACGCAAUAAGUAUAGUGUCUAUUAUGACCACAUUUAUAAGUCAAAAAGGAGUUUGAAAUGUUUCUACUUAAAAAGUCCUCCUUUUUCAAAAAUUCUGUGAGACUUUGUGUAGAACAGGAAUUAUUACUUUCUUAAAGUGUGUAGUAGAAUUCACCAGUGAUAGCCUCUAUUCCUGGAGUUUCUUUUGUGCAAUGAUUUUAAACUAUAAAACCAGUUUAGUUGACAGCCUUGAGGCUAUUAAAUUGUAUCCUAAUUACAUCUAUUUCUUUUAAAUGUCUUUCUUAAAUUGACAAAUAAAUUGUAUGUUUUUAUGUAUAAUAUGAUGUUUUAAAGUAAAAUUAGCUAAUUAACAAAUGUAUAACCUCAUAUUUAUUCUUGAAUACGUUUUAUUUUUAUGUUUUUCUGAUAAUUUUUCUAAUUCAUCUAAGUUGGUGACUUUAUUGGAAUGAAGUUGUUGUUAAUAUUAUCACAACUAACCUGUUAAUACUUUAAAUAUUGAAGUGGUGCCAACUCUCUCAUUUCUUAUAUUGCAGACUUUCUUGAUAGUCAACAACUUUAUGAAUCUAUUCAAAAUCCCAGCUUUAUUUUAAUUGCCACAUUGAUUAUUUUUAUUUUUAUUUUCAAAACAUGGCUUUCCUCUCUGGUCUUUAUUAUUAUUUUUCUUUUCAAUCAUAUAUGAUUCUUUUCUUUGUUUCUAAAAUUGGAAGCUAAAAUUAUGGACCUCAUAUUUUUAUUCAUAUUAUAGUUGUUUAGUGUUAUAAAUUUUCCUCUUAGAAGUGCUUUAGUUCCAUCAUCUAAUAAAUUUUGAUAAAAUGUUGCUUGUUUAUAUUGGUGAACCACUACCAAGAGAUAAAAGUUUUAUUAACUUUCUCUCAAUAUAACAUUUUCCCCUGCUAAUGCUUAUCUGUACUACUUGCUUGGUAUCCAAUGAAAUUCUAUCCCACUUUUUGAAUAGUUUCAUCUGGUAAUUAAUCACAUACAAUUUUAUGUAUACAUUUACUGUUUUAGUAGUUUUAAUGCAUAUGCCCUUAAUAUUUGAAGUGAUAUCAUCUAUUAAAGAGUGAAGUCUGUGGUGGUUUUUUCUCUUAAUUUACACACUGAACAUCUAAACUCAUGGUUAUCAAUGAAAAUCGAUUGAAUUACAUUGAUGUAAUUAACUGAGAUUGAAACAUGGUCUGAUUUUAUAGUGAAAUACGUGGGAAUCUGGAAACAAGUUUUUCUUUUAUAUAAGAUUUCCUCUGAGUAUGUUAGAAAAAUAUAAUAUUCUUCUACAUCCCAUGACACUGACCAUCCAAGAUAGCAUCAGCAGCUCAGAUCCCAAAUCUUCACGGCAUUGAAAUAUAGAUGCUUUUUGUUUGUUUGUUUUAAUGCCAAAAGGUUAAAAAUGUGGAGAAACUUUACAAUGAGACCCAAAUAGUUACAGUAUUCAAUGUUGCUAGCACUGACCACAUUUAUAAGUGACAAAGGAGCCUAUGUAUCCUUGAAUAAAUGUCUCUGUGUGAUGUAUGACUCUAAAGCUGAAAUGACACUUGCUGUAUCAAUUUCCUCAGCUGUAAACUGAGGAUAAUAGUGAUAUACAUUGCCUAGGAAUGUGUGAGUAUAAAACUUACAAUGUUUGUGACAUUUGGAUCGAACUGUAUGAUACUUGGUACAUUAAUGAUAAUUAUUCACUUUCUCAAAACUUCAGGGAUUUUAAAUACAUAUACAUACAAACACAUAUGCUAUUUGUAAUACAAAAUAAUCUUGUGAAAAUGAGUUAAUCUAUUUAAUGUGGAGAUCAGAUUUUGGCAACCUAUAGUUUAUGGACCAAAUCCAGCCUGUUAUCUGUUUUGUAAAUAAAAAUUUAUUGGAGCACAAUCCUACUCUUUGAUUUAUUAAUUGUCCAGGGAAGUUUUCACACUACAGCAGCAGAACUGAGGAGUUGUGCCAAAGAUCAUGUGGCCACAAAUUGUGACACUUACUCUAUGGAACCUAAGGUCUUUGCUACACACACACACACAGGCACACAGACUCACACACGUUUGUCACCAACUCCUGGUAUAGAAUAUAGCUUAUAUUCAGUAUCAAAUUGCCAGUCUCCCUUAUCAGCCUAAUAAGUAUUUUAAUUUGUAGUUAU
rnacentral:lncRNA from 10 species